AAGCUCGUAGUUGAAUUUCGGAAUUCUACCGUUGGUCGGGCUUUGUCUGUACUGGCGUGUAGAAUUUCUACCUUCUGGGGAACCAUUAUGUUAUUAAUUUAGCGUGGUGGGAAACCAGGACCUUUACCUUGAAAAAAUUAGAGUGUUCAAAGCAGGCUUAUGUCUGAAUACAUUAGCAUGGAAUAAUAGAAUAGGACGGUGGUCCUGUUUUGUUGGUUUCUGAAUCACCGUAAUGAUUAAUAGGGAUAGUUGGG
rnacentral:rRNA from 1 species